rnacentral:rRNA from 1 species
CCCUUAGAUGUCCUGGGCCGCGCGCGCGCUACACUGAUGCAUUCAACGAGUUUUACCUUGGCCGAGAGGCCUGGGCAAUCUUUUAAACCUGCAUCGUGAUAGGGAUAGAUUAUUGCAAUUAUUAAUCUUGAACGAGGAAUUCCUAGUAAACGCAGAUCAUCAAUCUGCAUUGAUUACGUCCCUGCCCUUUGUACACACCGCCCGUCGCACCUACCGAUUGAAUGGUCCGGUGAAGCCUCGGGAUUGUGGCCAGUUCACUUUAUUGGGAGUUGGCUGCGAGAACUUGUCUAAACCUUAUCAUUUAGAGGAAGGUGAAGUCGUAACA